rnacentral:rRNA from 1 species
CCUACGGGUGGCUGCAGUGGGGGAUAUUGCACAAUGGGGGGAACCCUGAUGCAGCGACGCCGCGUGGGUGAAGAAGCGCCUCGGCGCGUAAAGCCCUGUCAGCAGGGAAGAAAAUGACGGUACCUGAAGAAGAAGCCACGGUUAACUACGUGCCAGAGGCGGCGGUAAAGCGUAGGGGGAAAGCGUUACCCGGAUUUACUGGGUGUAAAGGGGGCGCAGACGGCGAUGCAAGCCAGGAGUGAAAGCCCGGGGGCCAACCCCGGGACGGCGCUUGGAACUGCGUGGCUGGAGUGCAGGAGGGGCAGGCGGAAUUCCUGGUGUAGCGGUGAAAUGCGUAGAUAUCAGGAGGAACACCGGUGGCGAAGGCGGCCUGCUGGACUGCAACUGACGUUGAGGCCCGAAAGCGUGGGGAGCAAACAGGAUUAGAUACCCCUGUAGUC